rnacentral:rRNA from 1 species
CCUACGGGAGGCAGCAGUGGGGAAUAUUGGACAAUGGGCGAAAGCCUGAUCCAGCCAUGCCGCGUGUGUGAAGAAGGCCUUCGGGUUGUAAAGCACUUUCAGUGGGGAAGAAAGCCUUGGGGCUAAUACCCUCGAGGAAGGACAUCACCCACAGAAGAAGCACCGGCUAACUCCGUGCCAGCAGCCGCGGUAAUACGGAGGGUGCGAGCGUUAAUCGGAAUUACUGGGCGUAAAGCGCGCGUAGGCGGUCUGAUAAGCCGGUUGUGAAAGCCCCGGGCUCAACCUGGGAACGGCAUCCGGUACUGUCAGGCUAGAGUGCAGGAGAGGAAGGUAGAAUUCCCGGUGUAGCGGUGAAAUGCGUAGAGAUCGGGAGGAAUACCAGUGGCGAAGGCGGCUUUCUGGACUGACACUGACGCUGAGGUGCGAAAGCGUGGGUAGCAAACAGGAUUAGAUACCCCAGUAGUC